rnacentral:rRNA from 1 species
AUUGAACGCUGGCGGCAGGCCUAACACAUGCAAGUCGAGCGGAGCGGCGGACGGGUGAGUAUUGCCUAGGAAUCUGCCUGGUACUGGGGGAUAACGUCCGGAAACGGGCGCUAAUACUGCAUACUCUUAGCAGAGCCUAGGUCGGAUUAGCUAGUUGGUGGGGUAAAGGCCUACCAAUGCUACGACCCGUAACUGGUCUGAGUGGAUGACCAGUCACACUGGAACUAAGACACGGUCCAGAUUCCUACGGGAGGCAGCAAGGGGGAAUAUUGGACAAUGGGCGAAAGCCUGAUCCAGCCAUGCCGAGUGUGUGAAGAAGGUCUUCGGAUUGUAAAGCACUUUAAGUUGGGAGGCGUUACCAACAGAAUAAGCACCGGCUAACUUCGUGCCAGCAGCCGCGGUAAUAC